UACGUAGGGUCCGAGCGUUGUCCGGAAUUACUGGGCGUAAAGAGCUCGUAGGUGGUUUGUCGCGUUGUUCGUGAAAACUCACAGCUCAACUGUGGGCGUGCGGGCGAUACGGGCAGACUGGAGUACUGCAGGGGAGACUGGAAUUCCUGGUGAUAGCGGUGGAAUGACGCAGAUAUCAGGAGGAACACCGGUGGCGAAGGCGGGUCUCUGGGCAAGUAACUGACGCUGGAGGAGCGAAAGCGUGGGGAGCAACAGG
rnacentral:rRNA from 1 species